rnacentral:rRNA from 1 species
CGGAACAUGUCCUGUAGUGGGGGAUAGCCCGGCGAAAGCCGGAUUAAUACCGCAUACGAUCUACGGAUGAAAGCGGGGGAUCUUCGGGCCUCGCGCUAUAGGGUUGGCCGAUGGCUGAUUAGCUAGUUGGUGGGGUAAAGGCCUACCAAGGCGACGAUCAGUAGCUGGUCUGAGAGGACGACCAGCCACACUGGGACUGAGACACGGCCCAGACUCCUACGGGAGGCAGCAGUGGGGAAUUUUGGACAAUGGGCGAAAGCCUGAUCCAGCAAUGCCGCGUGUGUGAAGAAGGCCUUCGGGUUGUAAAGCACUUUUGUCCGGAAAGAAAUCCUUGGCUCUAAUACAGCCGGGGGAUGACGGUACCGGAAGAAUAAGCACCGGCUAACUACGUGCCAGCAGCCGCGGUAAUACGUAGGGUGCGAGCGUUAAUCGGAAUUACUGGGCGUAAAGCGUGCGCAGGCGGUUUGCUAAGACCGAUGUGAAAUCCCCGGGCUCAACCUGGGAACUGCAUUGGUGACUGGCAGGCUAGAGUAUGGCAGAGGGGGGUAGAAUUCCACGUGUAGCAGUGAAAUGCGUAGAGAUGUGGAGGAAUACCGAUGGCGAAGGCAGCCCCCUGGGCCAAUACUGACGCUCAUGC